UUAACCCAAACAAAACUAUCCGCCAGAGAACUACUAGCAACAGCUUAAAACUCAAAGGACUUGGCGGUGCUUUAUAUCCCUCUAGAGGAGCCUGUUCCAUAAUCGAUAAACCCCGAUAAACCUCACCAUCUCUUGCUAAUUCAGCCUAUAUACCGCCAUCUUCAGCAAACCCUAAAAAGGAAGAAAAGUAAGCACAAGUAUCUUAACAUAAAAAAGUUAGGUCAAGGUGUAGCCCAUGAGAUGGGGAAGUAAUGGGCUACAUUUUCUACAACUAGAACAUCCACGAAAAUCCUUAUGAAAUUAAGUAUUAAAGGAGGAUUUAGUA
rnacentral:rRNA from 1 species